GACGAACGCUGGCGGCGUGCUUAACACAUGCAAGUCGAACGGAAAGGCCCCUUUGGGGGUACUCGAGCGGCGAACGGGUGAGUAACACGUGAGUAACCUGCCCUUGACUUCGGGAUAACUUCAGGAAACUGGGGCUAAUACCGGCUAGGAAUCCUUGCUGCAUGGUGGGGGUUGGAAAGCUUCGGGGGGUUUGGAUGGACUGGCGGGUUAUCAGCUUGUUGGUGGGGUGGUGGCUUACCAAGGCUUUGACGGGUAGCCGGCCUGGGGGGGCGACCGGCCACAAUGGGACUGAGAUACGGCCCAGGCUCCUACGGGAGGCAGCAGUGGGGAAGAUUGCACAAUGGGCGGAAGCCUGAUGCAGCAACGCCGCGUGCGGGAUGACGGCCUUCGGGUUGUAAACCGCUUUCAGCAGGGGCGAAGCUUGUGGUGACGGUACCUGCAGAAGAAGCACCGGCUAACUACGUG
rnacentral:rRNA from 1 species